rnacentral:rRNA from 1 species
CCCGAUGAACCUGAAUAUCCGUUAUGGAAAAUUCAUCAUUAAAAAAAUAUAUUAAAUAUAUAAAAUAAACUAUGUGCAAUUUUUCCAUAUAAGGACAUUGUAAUCUGUUAUUGUAUUAUAUAUUUAUCAAAAAAUCUUUAACAUAAGUUUAUUCAAAUUAGUUAUUUUCGGAUUUCUAACAUAGAAUAAUUGUUUUAGAUUUGAUAAAUCAUUGACAGAUUUUAUUAUAUAUAAUGCUUAAAUUCAAUUAAGAAUUUUAUAAUUGUAAUGGAAAUUUAUUUCUAUUAUUAAUUAUAUGCAUUUAUAUGAUUAACAAUGCGAUAGAUUCAGGAUACCUUCGGGACCCGUCUUGAAACACGGACCAAGGAGUCUAACAUAUGUGCAAGUCAUUGGGUAUUUUUAAUAAAACCCAAAGGCAUAAUUAACUUAACUGUUUUUUUAUAAUGGGAUUAGUUUGUAUUUUAUUAUGAAAUAUAAAUUCAAUCCCGGGGCGUUCUAUAUAGUUAUGCAUGAUGAUAUUUAUAUUAUUUAUGCCUCUAACUAGAGCGUACCUUGAGCAUAUAUGCUGUGACCC